GGGUUGUGAGGUUAAGCGACUAAGCGUACACGGUGGAUGCCCUGGCAGUCAGAGGCGAUGAAGGACGUGCUAAUCUGCGAUAAGCGUCG
rnacentral:rRNA from 2 species